CCACUGACUCCCAUGUUCCCCUGGCUACUGAGCCGGACUAUGUUCCCAACACCCCAGCAGAAGAGCUGACAGCUGGACAGAGUGCAGUCGGCCUCUGCCCUCCCUUUGACCCUUGUACAGAGCUUGACAUUCUGCCGGCUAUCCCAGCACAAGAGCUGACAUCAGGGCAGAGCGCCGCUGGCCUUUGCCCCCCAAGUACCACCAGCUAUUUGCCCAGCUGCACCAGGAAGGCCGAGGAUGCUGCAUUUUUAUCCUACAACCUGGAACCUACCGGCCAGUACUGUUUAUUGUCGGGGGGCUACUUUGCCACUUGUUAUUUGUGGGUGGGCUACUCAUGUACUUGUUCACUGUGGGUGGGUUUAUCGACUAACUCAGGCACUGACCGACAGGUCAGGUACCUGGUUAGUCUCCCCCCCAAAGGGGAGAUGUG